rnacentral:rRNA from 1 species
GACGAACGCUGGCGGCGUGCCUAAUACAUGCAAGUAGAACGCAGUUGCGAACGGGUGAGUAACGCGUAGGUAACUGCCUCAUAGCGGGGGAUAACUAUUGGAAACGAUAGCUAAUACCGCAUACUGUGAGAUGGACCUGCGUUGUAUUAGCUAGUUGGUGAGGUAAAGGCUCACCAAGGCGACGAUACAUAGCCGACCUUGGAGGGUGAACGGGACAACGUGGAAUGGGAAACGGCCCAGAAUCCUACGGGAGGGAGCAGUAGGGAAACUUCGGAAAUGGACGGAAGUCUGAACGAGCAACGCCGCGUGAGUGAAGAAGGUUUUCGGAUCGUAAAGCUCUGUUGUUAGAGAAGCGUUAACUAACCAGAAAGGGACGGCUAACUACGUGCCAGCAGCCGCGGUAAUUC